rnacentral:rRNA from 1 species
AAUAGAUACCCAGGUAGUCCACGCCGUAAACGAUGAGUGCUAAGUGUUAGAGGGUUUCCGCCCUUUAGUGCUGCAGCUAACGCAUUAAGCACUCCGCCUGGGGAGUACGGCCGCAAGGCUGAAACUCAAAGGAAUUGACGGGGGCCCACACAAGCGGUGGAGCAUGUGGUUUAAUUCGAAGCAACGCGAAGAACCUUACCAGGUCUUGACAUCCUCUGACCUCCCUGGAGACAGGGCCUUCCCCUUCGGGGGACAGAGUGACAGGUGGUGCAUGGUUGUCGUCAGCUCGUGUCGUGAGAUGUUGGGUUAAGUCCCGCAACGAGCGCAACCCUUGACCUUAGUUGCCAGCAUUGAGUUGGGCACUCUAAGGUGACUGCCGGUGACAAACCGGAGGAAGGUGGGGAUGGACGUCAAAUCAUCAUGCCCCUUAUGACCUGGGCUACACACGUGCUACAAUGGAUGGUACAAAGGGCUGCGAGACCGCGAGGUUAAGCCAAUCCCAGAAAACCAUUCCCAGUUCGGAUUGCAGGCUGCAACCCCG